AUUGAACGCUGGCGGCAGGCCUAACACAUGCAAGUCGAGCGGAUGAAGGGAGCUUGCUCCUGGAUUCAGCGGCGGACGGGUGAGUAAUGCCUAGGAAUCUGCCUGGUAGUGGGGGAUAACGUCCGGAAACGGGCGCUAAUACCGCAUACGUCCUGAGGGAGAAAGUGGGGGAUCUUCGGCCCUCACGCUAUCAGAUGAGCCUAGGUCGGAUUAGCUAGUUGGUGGGGUAAAGGCCUACCAAGGCGACGAUCCGUAACUGGUCUGAGAGGAUGAUCAGUCACACUGGAACUGAGACACGGUCCAGACUCCUACGGGAGGCAGCAGUGGGGAAUAUUGGACAAUGGGCGAAAGCCUGAUCCAGCCAUGCCGCGUGUGUGAAGAAGGUCUUCGGAUUGUAAAGCACUUUAAGUUGGGAGGAAGGGCAGUAAGUUAAUACCUUGCUGUUUUGACGUUACCAACAGAAUAAGCACCGGCUAACUUCGUG
rnacentral:rRNA from 1 species